rnacentral:tRNA from 1 species
GCGCCCGUAGCCCAGUGGAUAAGGCGACAGCCUCCGAAGCUGUAGAUCGCUGGUUCGAUUCCAGCCGGGCGCACCA